GCCAUAUUUGUGUACAAGCAUAAACAUCUCCCUCUUCAUUUAGACCCGUAACCUAAGCCGCCAAGGGAGGGAGAGAAGAGAAUUGUCUUGACGCAAAGUCACCAUAACCGAAAUCACUCCGUUCAUCACCGUCUAUCACCGGAGUCGUGAUCGUCUUCACCGGCUUCUUGGGUAAGGAAUCCUAACGCUAUUUUUUCUCUUCCUCUUAGUGGUCUCUAUCUCUGCCGUGUAGAUUUGUGGUUUAAGUUCAAAGUUUCUCAUUUUUAGUGAAAGAGAGGAAGGAGAUAACAGUUUAGAGGUUUUGGAGACUUAUUUCCCGUCAAAUCCGCAGGAAUUAGAUCAAGAUUUUGACGUCACUAGAUACAUCUCGCUGCAAGGAAGCCAUAGCAACUGACAGAUUGACAAACGGAGGUAUAGUCCAUUCGCUAUUCAUCACACAAGUUGAUGAAGAAUCACUGGUUAUGAUUCCAGGAAAAACUGUUUCACAUAAAAUUCCAGGUUAAAGUUGGGGUUUUGGGAGAGAAUUCCGGUCAAAUCUGAGCGCUCUAGGUAAUAUCGACGGUGGUUAUUAAUAGAGGAGGUGUCAGGGAAGUCGCCUAAGCCGUCAAAGUCGCUGGAAAAGGUACAUCCUAACCACCAUGACGUUUGCUUGAUGCGCAAGAAACAUAUGAAACUGGUUUGAUUUGAUUUAAUCUCCCUGUGGAAACUCUUCAAUUUGGUAAAUGCAGCAGAGGCUCGUCGGAGAUUCUUUGUGGUCGAUCAUGUUGGUGAUGAGUUACGACUACUCUCAAUGCUAGAUGCUUUGGUAACAAGUUAAUUUCUAUAUAAUAUGGAUUUUCCACUUACAGAUUUGGAAUGUCAGAUUUUGUGAGUUGAAAAACUAUUUAUGUUUCAAAGUGUAUAUCUAAGCUAUACAAAAGAAGUAUAUUUGACAUCUUUUUCUCUUUUUAUAUUUGUGACUGUAGCCAUUAAGAGUAUAAAAUAUCUGCAAAAGAUGAAGACCAACAUAGAGACACCAAUUUGUAUCAAAAACAGGCAAUUACUCAUUUGACUAACUCUGGUUGUGUUAUACGUACGUUUAUUAUUCUUUCAAUUUGCUAACGACCUUAUAUGUGACUAUUUAGUAGAGCUGCUGAUUUGUAUAGGCAGAUUCUUCAGCUAAAGCCAUUGCUGGAGUACUUUAUUAA